rnacentral:pre_miRNA from 1 species
UUUUCAGUAUAAGUAUGUCCCAUGCAAUAAUUGAGACAUACUUAUACGAAAA